GUGCGAAGGAUAGCUUAGUUGUAGAGUAUGAGACUCUUAAUCUCAGGGUCAUAGUUUUGAGCCCCAAGUUUGGACA